rnacentral:rRNA from 1 species
AUUGAACGCUGGCGGCAUGCUUUACACAUGCAAGUCGAACGGUAACAGGCCGCAAGGUGCUGACGAGUGGCGAACGGGUGAGUAAUGCAUCGGAACGUGCCCAGUCGUGGGGGGUAACGCAGCGAAAGCUGCGCUAAUACCGCAUACGAUCUAUGGAUGAAAGCGGGGGACCGUAAGGCCUCGCGCGAUUGGAGCGGCCGAUGUCAGAUUAGGUAGUUGGUGGGGUAAAGGCUCACCAAGCCAACGAUCUGUAGCUGGUCUGAGGGGACGACCAGCCACACUGGGACUGAGACACGGCCCAGACUCCUACGGGAGGCAGCAGUGGGGAAUUUUGGACAAUGGGCGCAAGCCUGAUCCAGCAAUGCCGCGUGCAGGAAGAAGGCCUUCGGGUUGUAAACUGCUUUUGUCAGGGAAGAAAUCUUCUGGGUUAAUACCUUGGGAGGAUGACGGUACCUGAAGAAUAAGCACCGGCUAACUACGUGCCAGCAGCCGCCGUAACAC